UUUCUGUAGGGGAGAAAACAUCUUGCGCAAGAUAAAAUAUUUUGCGGGAUGGAAAAUAUCUUACGUGAGAGAUAAUACUUUGCGGGAAAGUAAUAUCUUGCGAGAGGGAAAAUAUCUUUCGCGAGAGAAAAUAUUUUGCAGAAGAGAAUAGAGAUCUUACGCGAGAGAUGAUACUUUGCGCGAGGGAAAAUAUCUUGCGUGAGAGAAAAUACCUUGCGGGAGAAAACAAAUCUUAUGUGAGAGAAAACACCGACUAUUUUGCAGACAGUCGUCUAAGCCUACACAAACACCAUUAAAGAACUGUGUAUCUGGAUGAUUAAGAAGUAUAGCAAAGUGUGAUCUUGAUGUGGGUAAAAUGGUGCUUUAACAUUUGAAGGAUAAUGCAUGAAACACAGUUCCAUGUGUCUAGUAUGUUAUAGAUAUGCAUCGCAUCAUACAUCGCAAAUCAUGAUUGUUGCGGUUACAACUGAGCAAGAAAGUCCAGCCUUUCCUCAGCCGGGAUUGAAUGAGAAUUUAAAUCAACAGAUGUUGUCCUAAACGUCUACAGGUGCCUUAUUACGAUUGGCAUGUCAAUAGGGCAAACAAUUCUUAUUGAAUGGGGCAUCCUGCCAAAAGGCUGGACCUAUUUCGAUAAUAAAUAGUACGUGUGUUUUAAUAUGGCUCGCAAUUAAAUUAUCACCUAACUUUACCCACCACAGGCAUUGAUUUUACAACAACAACAUUUUAUUCAUGUCAUUAUGAUAAUGCAGUUUCAUCUCGCUCACGUUCUUCUUUCGCCUGACGUGCCUGAUUAUUAUUCCUAUCCCCCUGGCGUUUAUUUCCUCCCGCCCAGGAUUUGUCCUCGCUCGCAGCAAGUCAGCCAGCGCGAGCGAGAAGUAAAAACACCACAUGCAAACGCGAGAAAUUACUUUACCGAAAUCAAGACCCAGAAGUAAGAUAGACCUCACACUCGCAUUGUAUAUUUUAGGAUUUGUAUUUAGUACAAACAAACGUUUUUCUUCCCAGUUUGCACCCAUCGAUCCCUUUUCGCGGCGUUGUCUUUCGCGUGUGCCUGUGAUUUUGUUUCCUCUCUCUCGGCGGAAACGAUGAUGAUGAUUUUUCCUCUCUCUCAGCGAAAACGAUGAUGAUGAUUUUUCCUCUCUCUCGGCGAAAACGAUGAUGAUGAUUUGCGAGCGAGGAAAAAAACCGCAUGCAAGCGCGAGAGAACAAAUCACCGCGGGGGAAAGAAAAUCGCAUGCAAACGCGAGAGGUGAUACUGACCGCUGACGUCACGCCCCCUCAGACGUGAACAGGAUUGCUUCAGCCACUGGUCCGCUACAACAUGCAACACUGAGCUCAGAUGGAGCACCUUCAAUGGAAGAGAAGCAGAACUUGGUCCAUGAGAGAGUAAACGGGGAGAAACCAGACCUGGUCCCAGCCAACAGGACAUGGAUUGUAACCAGCUUUGCAAAUUUUAAAAACAGUUGUAAAUUUUUUUUUUUUAGAGAUUUUAUUGGCAAGAUAAAAAUUCAAAAUGUAUAUCAUUUCAGCCGGCAUCAUUUUUUGUACAUACAGAAAUGAUAUGUAAUAAGAUUGUGAGGCAUGUGUAACGUUUCAAGUAUCUAUUAUAGCUGUCAAGAAGAUUAAAAG